GAAAUGCGAUACGUAAUGUGAAUUGCUUUCCGUGAAUCAUCGAAUCUUUGAACGCACAUUGCACUCCUCUGGAGUAUGCCUGUUUGAGAAUCUAUAGUAUUAAUUUCUUGUGAUUUCAUUCGUGAAUGACCAAGGAGAUAUGAAGUUCCCAUCUCUUGGUGGGUUCUUUUAAAUAGAUUGCUACUAGUAAUAUGAAAAUGCUUGACAUUUCUCUAUAUCUAUUAGAAAAGUAUGUGUAUGAAACUGUGGUUUCUCAUAAUGCCUAUUAUUUUAGAGGAGAUUUGGAGUUUUUAUAUGAACAGUUAGUCCAUACCUAUAAAGGCGCAAGCCUUGAACCAUGGUCUCAAAUCAGGUAGGAAGACCCGCUGAACUUAA
rnacentral:misc_RNA from 1 species